GAUGAAGAACGUAGCGAAAUGCGAUAAGUAAUGUGAAUUGCAGAAUUCAGUGAAUCAUCGAAUCUUUGAUCGCACAUUGCGCCCCCUGGUAUUCCGGGGGGCAUGCCUGUUCGAGCGUCAUUUCACCACUCAAGCCUCGCUUGGUAUUGGGCAACGCGGUCCGCCGCGUGCCUCAAAUCGACCGGCUGGGUCUUCUGUCCCCUAAGCGUUGUGGAAACUAUUCGCUAAAGGGUGUUCGGGAGGCUACGCCGUAAAACAACCCCAUUUCUAAGGUUGACCUAGGAUCAGGUAGGGAUACCCGCUGAACUUAAGCAUAUCAAUAAGGGAGGA
rnacentral:misc_RNA from 1 species